rnacentral:tRNA from 1 species
UGUGUUUCCAUUUUUGCUUGUUUCAAGAAAAUUUUUAUUUUUACUUAUUUAUUUUUAAAGAUUUUAUUUUUAAGUGAUACCUGUACCCAAGGUGAAGCUGGAACUCACAAUCCAAAAUCAAGAGUCCUAUGCUGUACCACUGAGCCAGCCAGGUGCCCUGCACUCUCUGAUUUUUUAGGAUUCUCUCAAUGGUGUCCAGUUCUUGUUAUUCUUGGAGGGAGAGCAAAAGUCAGGAACAACCUAUGUCAUCAUCUUCGUGACAUCACUUCCCACCUCGUGUAUUUGAGGGAAGAAAGAAGUCUUUUGAUAAUCUUCUUAAGCACCUCAGAAAAAGACCAUUUCCUGUCAGGUAGGUCAACUUGUCUCCUUUCCUUGGAUGUACUUAUUUUCUGUGUUAUUUCUUGUAAAUGCUUAUUCCCAGAAACUUUCUAUUUUCUUCCCCCCUUACUGUUACCUGAAGUUAGCCAAGGGACUAUUAUGGUUGAUGUCAGUAUGUUUUUUGCUUUUCCUUUUAUAGUGGCUCACAUGUAUCUGUAGCAUCAUUCUCCU